rnacentral:lncRNA from 1 species
GCAGCUUUGUUGUGUUCAUGACAGGAGAUAAAAUUAAAAUUUUAACUACUGCCUCAGCAAAGCCCCAGUACCCCCUCCUCCUCAGAAUCUCCUGUCUGACACACCUUGAAGGAGGAAUCUCUUUGAAGGUCCAUCAGUGAAGAAAGCUGUGGCAAUUCUUAUCAUGGCUGGACUCCAUUUUCAGAGCAAGGGAAAUUCCAGCAAAACUUCCAGACCCAUCAAGGUGGUUUAGCUCUUAUUCAUCACCCUCCUGGCAUCCAGGCUUGAAAUCCUUAAUGUGAUUAGUGCCGGGGAAACGAUUUUCAUCCUGCUCAGCUUUACUCACAGCCCCUGGUAAAGUGCAAGACCUGGUGGCUGAGGGGAGAGGGUUGACUGAAAUCUCCCCCUUUUACAGCAGAGCUGGAAUGGCAGGGCUCUGUCCCCAGAGAUCCCGUGGCACACAAAUGUCCCUUUGCUCCAUGGCAAACAGAGCCACAACAAUCACAUCCAUCCAUGGCAGGAGCACUGAGAAGAGAGAAAAGCUGGAGCUGUUGUGGCAGAAGUAGGGACAGCCAGGAGGAAUGCCUGCAAACAUCCUGACAUUGAACUUCUAAUUCCAUUUUCCGUAAGGACGCUGGCAUCUGGUGUGUUAUUAAGUAACUCGGUGGAGAUCUGUUAAAUGCAUAACCUCCCUGCACAAAGGAUACAUUCUUUUACUGCCUUUCUCCCUUUAACCCCUGCUUCCCUUUGAUACUUGCCUGCUCCACAGUUGCCAAUCAUGAUUUUGCAAACUCAGUUGAAACAUUUCAGUGGGACAAAUCACCCUGUUUUUUUCACUCCCUGCCAUCCUCAGGAGUUUACAGUCAGAACCUCCAUUGCUUUCAGCCUGAAAUUUCCCUUUGCUUUCCUGCAAAUCCUUGGAGUUGUUUUCAACAAGAUGCACCAAGGUGUUUCACCAAGAGAAAAAACAUCUGACAAAAGGUGUCCAUAUGUCUGCAACAGGGAAUCUGGCCAGCUCACAGAAACUUCCUCUCCUCCAAGAACUGCAUACUGAGGCAAAUUCCCAGCUUAUUAAAAAAUAGUUGUGUUAUUUUGCCAUCUUGUUUGUUCUGCAGUUCCACUGUAUUUCCCCCCCUCCCCCUCUCUCUUUUUUUUUUUUUUUUUUUAAUUAUGCUGUUGGCUUUUGGAGGGAAAAAAAAAGGAAAUGGAAAAGAAAAAAAAGCCAAUAAUUUUUAAACUAUAUCUUUAUUUUGGGCUGUGUGUCACUUACAAACUUUUGUAGCAAUUGAUAGGAACAUCCCAAUAUUCAGAUGCUAUUUGUCCAGUGAAGAGCUGUUUGCAUGAAGUACACAGAAGCUUCCAAAAAACCCCUAAAGAUCUUAAAGUAUGUUAUAAAGCUUCUCUUCAACUUCUGACAGAAGUGCCUUAACUUCACUGCUGCUGAAGUCUUUUCCAAAGUAAAUGAAAUCAAAACUGGAAUGGCUAAACCCUGAGUAACACUGUCCCAGAGUUUAAUGUGUUCCAAACACUCAAUUUCAAAGUUUAGCUUAGUUGUUUUAGUUUUUCUGAAUGAUUCCUAAGACAACUUUUCAAUUCAGUGCUGGAGUUUCAUUGCUUGUUUGGUUUCUUUUUUUACCCCAUUUUAUAACUUCCUAGAUUUUGAAGGUAAAAGCCAGUUAUGUUGAGAUCUGGAAAAUUGCUUCUUCAAAAUAAAGGAAAAUGUUUUGGUCUGUGGCUUCUUUCA